GAUGAACGCUGGCGGCGUGCCUAAUACAUGCAAGUCGAACGCUGGAGAUCUAGCUUGCUAGAUCGAAGGAGUGGCGAACGGGUGAGUAAUACAUAAGCAACCUACCCACGAAGACUGGGAUAAUCUCUGGAAACGGGGACUAAUACCGGAUAGGUAAUCGGAAGGCAUCUUCUGGUUAUUAAAGGUUAAAAACACUGGUGGAUGGGCUUAUGGCGCAUUAGUUAGUUGGUGAGGUAACGGCCCACCAAGACGAUGAUGCGUAGCCGGCCUGAGAGGGUGAACGGCCACAUUGGGACUGGGACACGGCCCAGACUCCUACGGGAGGCAGCAGUAGGGAAUUUUCGGCAAUGGGGGCAACCCUGACCGAGCAACGCCGCGUGAGUGAAGACGGCCUUCGGGUUGUAAAGCUCUGUUGUAAGGGAAGAACGGUAGAUAGAGAAUAUCUAAGUGACGGUACCUGACCAGAAAGCCACGGCUAACUACGUG
rnacentral:rRNA from 1 species